UCUAACUGCGGGUAGCCAAGGCUACGCCGUAUACUCUGCGUGCUCGAAUUAACGUUUAAGCGAUCUUUCAAGAUAGCCGACCGCAGGGGGAAAAGCCGCUGAAUGCGGCUUUUCUUUUAGGCCGC
rnacentral:ncRNA from 1 species